CUCUUUGUGCACCCGCCCACACGGUUUGCCGUGUUUUCACCCUUCUUUGUUCUCCACCGGUCUGGGCAGGGUCUGAGGACUCCGGAGAGCAAGGCAUGGGUCCGCCUCGUGCCGCAGGUUCCUGGCCCACGCCAGCCGUACCCAGUAGCACAAUGGUAAGCGCAUGCUGGCGAGAGGUAGGCGGUGUGAGGAGGGGCUGGUUUCGGGGAGAGGACAGUAAUGAUGAUUUCUGGUGAUUCUGAGUGUCUCGCUGACGCCAUCACCGCAGCGCGCUGACCGUCCCCGGGUCCAAAAUCGGCAGUGGCGUGGGUUUUGAGUGGCCUAGAGUUCUGAGUAAUUUACCUCUGUGUCUUGCUUUCUGGUAGGGAUUUGAGGACACACGCCAGCUGCCUACACCUGAAGAAAGGGCUUUGCUGCUACGCACUGACAAGUUGGACGGCUUUUUAUUGCUUUGUUGCCAGUUAUCUGAACAUGAGAGGCUGUAAGGUGUAAUCUGCGAGCCCUGCGCCCAGACUGAACCAGGGCCUCCCUUGAACAUGAGUAUUAGACAAAUGAAAUAAGAACUUAUCUUGCCCAGACUAUAUAAUGGCUUGGAAAUGCAUAGUUUCCUGAACGAUCUCAAUAAAAUACUUUUAAAAGUA
rnacentral:lncRNA from 1 species